rnacentral:rRNA from 1 species
GGUGAACGCUGGCGGCGGGCCUAACACAUGCAAGUCGAGCGGACAGACGGUGAGCUUGCUCUGUUGCCGGUGGCGGCGGGCGGGUGAGUAACACGUGCAUAACAUACUUAUAUUUCUGGGAUAAUUACGGGAGACAGGAUACAAUACCGGAUCAUAUGUUGAACGGGAGGGAUCAAUAGAGCUUGAGGGCUUUGCUGACACUUAGAGAUGGUGCCGGGCUGGAUUGGCUAGUUGGUAAGGUAACGGCCUACCAAGGCGACGAUGCGUAGCCGAGCUGAGAGGGUGAUCAGCCACACUGGAACUGAGACACGGUCCAGACUCCUACGGGAGGCAGCAGUAGGGAAUCUUCGGCAAUGGGCGCAAGCCUGAUGCAGCCACGCCGCGUGAGUGAUGAAGGUCUUCGGAUCGUAAAGCUCUUUUAUUAGGGAAGAACAGCUGUGUAAUAAUCCAUGGCCGUCUUGACGGUACCUAAUCAAAAAGCACCGGCUAACUACGUG